GACGAACGCUGGCGGCGUGCCUAAUACAUGCAAGUCGAACGCAGUGGGGACGGGUGAGUAACACGUGGGUAACCUCCCAUCAGAGGGGAUAACACUUGGAAACAGGUGCUAAACCCAUACUGAUGUAUGACCCCGCGGUGCAUGAGCUAGUUUGUGAGGUAACGGCUCACCAAGGCCACGAGGCAUAGCCGAGCUGAGAGGGUGAUCGGCCACACUGGGACUGAGACACGGCCCAGACUCCUACGGGAGGCAGCAGUGGGGAAUAUUGGGCAAUGGACGAAAGUCUGACCGAGCAACGCCGCGUGAGUGAAGAAGGUUGUCGGAUCGUAAAAUACUGUUGUUAGAGAAGCGGUAUCUAACCAGAAAGCCACGGCUAACUACGUGCCAGCAGCCGCGGUAAUAC
rnacentral:rRNA from 1 species